rnacentral:rRNA from 1 species
AGUGGCGCACGGGUGCGUAACACGUGGCUCAUCUGCCCCAAAGACGGGGAUAACCGGCGGAAACGUUGGCUAAUACCCGAUAAGCUCACAGGCUGUAGAGGCUAGUGAGAAAAGCUGCGACGCUUUGGGAUGAGGCUGCGGUCCAUCAGCUAGAUGGUGAGGUAACGGCUGACCAUGGCGACGACGGAUAGGGGACCUGAGAGGGUGAACCCCCACACUGGCACUGAGACACGGGUCAGACUCCUACGGGAGGCAGCAGUGAGGAAUAUUGCGCAAUGGGCGAAAGCCUGACGCAGCGACGCCGCGUGGACGAUGAAGGCCUUCGGGUCGUAAAGUCCUUUUCUGCGUGACGAGACAAGGACGGUAGCGCAGGAAUAAGUCUCGGCUAACUACGUGCCAGCAGCCGCGGUAAAACGUAGGAGGCAAGCGUUAUCCGGAGUUACUGGGCGUAAAGCGCGUGUAGGCGGUUGAGCAGGUCAGAUGUGAAAGCUCCCAGGCUAAACCGGGAGAGGUCAUUUGAAACCGCUCGGCUAGAGGACGGCAGAGGGGCAUGGAAUUCCGGGUGUAGUGGUGAAAUGCGUAGAGAUCCGGAGGAACACCAGUGGCGAAGGCGGUGCCCUGGGCCGACCCUGACGCUGAGACGCGAAAGCAUGGGGAGCGAACGGGAUUAGAAACCCCGGUAGUCCAUGCCGUAAACGAUGCACACUAGGUGUUC